GGCCCCUUCGUCUAGUGGUUUAGGACAUCGCCCUUUCACGGCGGCAACACGGGUUCGAAUCCCGUAGGGGUCACCA
rnacentral:tRNA from 3 species